UACAGAGGUCCCAAGCGUUGUUCGGAUUCAUUGGGCGCAAAGGGUGCGUAGGCGGUGGGGUAAGUUGGAUGUGAAAUCUUGGGGCUUAACCUCAAAAUUGCAUUCAAUACUGCUCCGCUCGAGCUCUGUAGAGGAGAUUGGAAUUUACGGUGUAGCAGUGAAAUGCGUAGAUAUCGUAAGGAACGCCAGUGGCGAAAGCGAAUCUCUGGGCAGCAACUGACGCUGAGGCACGAAGGCCAGGGGAGCAAACGGG
rnacentral:rRNA from 1 species